rfam:Cajanus cajan Scaffold000320_10, whole genome shotgun sequence.
AAUAGUUCAAGAGAGCUUUCUUCAGUCCACUCAUGGAUGGGUAGAGGGUUUGAAUUAGCUGCUGACUCAUUCAUUCAAACACAAUAGAACGGGUCACGGUAUGCUAUUGUGAAUGUGUGAAUGAUGCAGGAGGUAAAAUUCAUCCUUUUCUUGUCUUUGCUUGGACUGAAGGGAGCUCCCUUUUACUAUUUU